rnacentral:lncRNA from 1 species
UUUCGGGAUAGUAACAGCAAUUUCAGGGUUAGCACCAGACAUUUUAGCAACGUUUGAUAACAUAACAGCACAAAGACAAGCUGGAUUCUGACCAAGUUUCUUAACCUGAGCGCAACAGCUUUGAGACACAUUAGCAUCUUCAUCAGAUGCUGCAUUAGCACAAGGUGCAAGCUUAAAAGCUUCAUUAUCUGGUGUUGUACCCCUUCCACAUUCACCAGCACUUUCAACUCCAUGAAUCCAAAAGCUUCAUUAUCUGGUGUUGUACCCCUUCCACAUUCACCAGCACUUUCAACUCCAUGAAUCCCUAAAACAAGGACAACAACACCAACAAGACACAACAACUUCAUAAGACCCUCCAUUUUUUCUUUUCUUAAUGUAUGUCUAUUGUCUCUUAGUGAAAUUAAUUAGUUCUAUGUAAGAAUACCAAGCAUUUGAUGGGAUUUUAUAGUGAUAAGAAUAUGGUUGGUCUAG